UAAAUUUUGAUGAUGAUUAAAUUUUCAAAAUUUGUUCCUAUAUGAAAACACUUGUAUUAAAUCUAUAGAAAUAUCUUCUGUUAUACAACAAACAAUCAAACACAUUAAAUGCCUGUUUUGCAAAAAAAAGUGAAGCACGUACUUGGCCCUUUGUUGCCUAGUACAAAAAUACCAUGCACACAUGCAGAAAACCAGCACUUAUUUAACACAUGCUUGGCUCUGUUUAAUUUACCCAAGAAUUUAAUUAUUUUUCCCAUGUUAAAAAUGGGCAUGGUCCAUUCAGGAAAUGCUGGACAUAGGUUUUUAAUGCAAAUGUGGGGC
rnacentral:lncRNA from 1 species